rnacentral:lncRNA from 1 species
AGUUAAUUAGUUUCAAUUUGAUCCACCAGAAGAUUCGGGCUCAACUAUGGAGUCAUGAUCAUGAUCCAUUUAUUAGGUCAAAAAUAUGGACUUAAUCAAACUUCAACUAUUGAGGUUGAUCUAAAGAAACUCUGACCUAAUCUAAUUCAGCACUUGAUUAGAUUUAACCAAUUUCUCCAUAUGGUCUAUAUGUGUUUCUAGCCCU